rnacentral:rRNA from 1 species
GACGAACGCUGGCGGCGUGCCUAAUACAUGCAAGUCGAACGAACUCUGGUAUUGAUUGGUGCUUGCAUCAUGAUUUACAUUUGAGUGAGUGGCGAACUGGUGAGUAACACGUGGGAAACCUGCCCAGAAGCGGGGGAUAACACCUGGAAACAGAUGCUAAUACCGCAUAACAACUUGGACCGCAUGGUCCGAGCUUGAAAGAUGGCUUCGGCUAUCACUUUUGGAUGGUCCCGCGGCGUAUUAGCUAGAUGGUGGGGUAACGGCUCACCAUGGCAAUGGUACGUAGACGACCUGAGAGGGUAAUCGGCCACAUUGGGACUGAGACACGGCCCAAACUCCUACGGGAGGCAGCAGUAGGGAAUCUUCCACAAUGGACGAAAGUCUGAUGGAGCAACGCCGCGUGAGUGAAGAAGGGUUUCGGCUCGUAAAACUCUGUUGUUAAAGAAGAACAUAUCUGAGAGUAACUGUUCAGUUAUUGACGGUAUUUAACCAGAAAGCCACGGCUAACUACGUGCCAGCAGCCGCCGUAACAC